UUGACCUCGAAUCAGGUAGGAAUACCCGCUGAACUUAAGCAUAUCA
rnacentral:rRNA from 14 species